GCGGCCGUGGCGGAAUUGGUAGACGCGCAACGUUGAGGUCGUUGUGUCCGAAAGGACGUGGAAGUUCGAGUCUUCUCGGCCGCACCA
rnacentral:tRNA from 3 species